rnacentral:rRNA from 1 species
ACGGGAGGCAGCAGUAGGGAAUAUUGCACAAUGGGGGAAACCCUGAUGCAGCGACGCCGCGUGAGUGAUGAAGUAUUUCGGUACGUAAAGCUCUAUCAGCAGGGAGAUAAUGACGGUACCUGACUAAGAAGCCCCGGCUAACUACGUGCCAGCAGCCGCGGUAAUACGUAGGGGGCAAGCGUUAUCCGGAUUUACUGGGUGUAAAGGGAGUGCAGGUGGUCUGGCGAGUCAGAUGUGAAAGCCCGCGGCUCAACCGCGGGACUGCAUUUGAAACUGUCAGACUGGAGUGCAGGAGAGGAAAGUGGAAUUCCUAGUGUAGCGGUGAAAUGCGUAGAUAUUAGGAAGAACACCAGUGGCGAAGGCGGCUUUCUGGACUGUAACUGACACUGAGGCUCGAAAGCGUGGGGAGCGAACAGGAUUAGAUACCCUGGUA